rnacentral:rRNA from 1 species
UACGGAGGGUGCAAGCGUUAUCCGGAUUCACUGGGUUUAAAGGGUGCGUAGGUGGGCAGUUAAGUCAGUGGUGAAAUCUCCGGGCUCAACCCGGAAACUGCCAUUGAUACUAUCUGUCUUGAAUAUCGUGGAGGUAAGCGGAAUAUGUCAUGUAGCGGUGAGAUGCUUAGAUAUCCGGAGGAACACCGGUGGCGAAGGCGGCUUCCUGGACCGACACUGACGCUGAGGCGCGAAAGCUAGGGGAGCAAACGGG